UACGUAGGGUGCGAGCGUUAAUCGGAAUUACUGGGCGUAAAGCGUGCGCAGGCGGUUCGUUGUGUCUGAUGUGAAAGCCCCGGGCUCAACUUGGGAACGGCAUUGGAAACUGGCGAGCUAGAGUGUGGCAGAGGGGGGUGGAAUUCCGCGUGUAGCAGUGAAAUGCGUAGAUAUGCGGAGGAACACCGAUGGCGAAGGCAAUCCCCUGGACCUGUACUGACGCUCAUGCACGAAAGCGUGGGGGAGCAAACAGG
rnacentral:rRNA from 1 species